CUCGUAGGUGGCCAACUAAGUCAGACGUGAAAUCCCUCGGCUUAACCGGGGAACUGCGUCUGAUACUGGAUGGCUUGAGGUUGGGAGAGGGAUGCGGAAUUCCAGGUGUAGCGGUGAAAUGCGUAGAUAUCUGGAGGAACACCGGUGGCGAAGGCGGCAUCCUGGACCAAUUCUGACGCUGAGGAGCGAAAGCCAGGGGAGCAAACGGGAUUAGAUACCCCGGUAGUCCUGGCCCUAAACGAUGAAUGCUUGGUGUGGCGGGUAUCGAUCCCUGCCGUGCCGAAGCUAACGCAUUAAGCAUUCCGCCUGGGGAGUACGGUCGCAAGGCUGAA
rnacentral:rRNA from 1 species